GGAAUCUUCCACAAUGGGCGAAAGCCUGAUGGAGCAACGCCGCGUUGGUGAAGAAGGUCUUCGGAUCGUAAAACCCUGUUGUUAGAGAAGAAAGUGCGUGAGAGUAACUGUUCACGUUUCGACGGUAUCUAACCAGAAAGCCACGGCUAACUACGUGCCAGCAGCCGCGGUAAUACGUAGGUGGCAAGCGUUAUCCGGAUUUAUUGGGCGUAAAGGGAACGCAGGCGGUCUUUUAAGUCUGAUGUGAAAGCCUUCGGCUUAACCGGAGUAGUGCAUUGGAAACUGGGAGACUUGAGUGCAGAAGAGGAGAGUGGAACUCCAUGUGUAGCGGUGAAAUGCGUAGAUAUAUGGAAGAACACCAGUGGCGAAAGCGGCUCUCUGGUCUGUAACUGACGCUGAGGUUCGAAAGCGUGGGUAGCAAACAGGA
rnacentral:misc_RNA from 1 species